AGAGUUUGAUCCUGGCUCAGGAUGAACGCUAGCGGCAGGCCUAACACAUGCAAGUCGAACGGUAACAUAGAGAAGCUUGCUUCUUUGAUGACGAGUGGCGCACGGGUGCGUAACGCGUAUACAAUCUGCCUCUUACAGGGGGAUAGCCUUUGGAAACGAAGAAUAAUACCCCAUAGUAUGUGAUUAUCGCAUGGUAAUUACAUUAAAGAUUUAUCGGUAAGAGAUGAGUAUGCGUCCUAUUAGCUAGAUGGUGUGGUAACGGCACACCAUGGCAACGAUAGGUAGGGGCCCUGAGAGGGGGAUCCCCCACACUGGUACUGAGACACGGACCAGACUCCUACGGGAGGCAGCAGUGAGGAAUAUUGGACAAUGGGCGCGAGCCUGAUCCAGCCAUGCCGCGUGCAGGAAGACUGCCCUAUGGGUUGUAAACUGCUUUUAUACGGGAAGAAACCCACCUACGUGUAGGUGGCUGACGGUACCGUAAGAAUAAGCAUCGGCUAACUCCGUGCCAGCAGCCGCGGUAAUACGGAGGAUGUAGCGUUAUCCGGAAUCAUUGGGUUUAAAGGGUCUGUAGGUGGACAAUUACGUCAGAGGUGAAAUCCUGCAGCUCAACUGUAGAAUUGCCUUUGAUACUGCUUGUCUUGGAAUUAUUGGUGAGUGGGUGAGAAUAUGUAGGGUAGCGGUGAAUGCAUAGAUAUACAUAGAUACCAUGCGAAGGCAGAUCACUUACAUAUAUGACACUGAUGACGAAAGCUGGGGAGCGACGGGAUAGAUACCCCGGUAGUCCACGCGUAAACGAUGUCACUAGCUGUCGGAUUCGGUCUGAGUGGCUAAGCGAAAGUGAUAAGUGACCCACCUGGGGAGUACGUUCGCAAGAAUGAAACUCAAAGGAAUUGACGGGGGCCCGCACAAGCGGUGGAGCAUGUGGUUUAAUUCGAUGAUACGCGAGGAACCUUACCAGGGCUUAAAUGUAGAUUGCAUUAGCUAGAGAUAGCUAU
rnacentral:rRNA from 1 species